CUACGGGCGGCUGCAGUGAGGAAUAUUGCACAAUGGGGGGAACCCUGAUGCAGCAACGCCGCGUGGAGGAUGACGCAUUUCGGUCUGUAAACUCCUUUUAUAUGUCAAGAAAAUGACGGUAGCAUAUGAAUAAGCACCGGCUAACUCCGUGCCAGCAGCCGCGGUAAUACGGAGGGUGCAAGCGUUACUCGGAAUCACUGGGCGUAAAGGACGCGUAGGCGGGUUAUCAAGUCAGGUGUGAAAUCCUACAGCUUAACUGUAGAACUGCACUUGAAACUGGUAACCUAGAGUAUGGGAGGGGCAGAUGGAAUUAGUGGUGUAGGGGUAAAAUCCGUAGAUAUCACUAGGAAUACCUAAAGCGAAGGCGAUCUGCUGGAACAUAACUGACGCUAAGGCGUGAAAGCGUGGGGAGCAAACAGGAUUAGAUACCCGAGUAGUC
rnacentral:rRNA from 1 species